rnacentral:rRNA from 1 species
UACGUAGGGGGGCAAGCGUUGUCCGGAUUUAUUGGGCGUAAAGAGCGUGUAGGCGGCUUCACAGGUCCGCUGUGAAAACUCGAGGCUCAACCUCGAGCUGUCGGUGGAAACCGUGUGGCUAGAGUCCGGAAGAGGAGAGUGGAAUUCCCGGUGUAGCGGUGAAAUGCGCAGAUAUCGGGAAGAACACCCGUGGCGAAGGCGGCUCUCUGGGACGGUACUGACGCUGAGACGCGAAAAGCGUGGGGAGCAAACAGG